rnacentral:rRNA from 1 species
AUACGGAGGGCGCAAGCGUUGUUCGGAAUUACUGGGCGUAAAGCGCGUGUAGGCGGUUCGGCAAGUCGGGUGUGAAAGCCCAGGGCUCAACCCUGGAAUUGCAUUCGAAACUGCCGGGCUAGAGUCCCGGAGAGGAAGGCAGAAUUCCCAGUGUAGGGGUGAAAUCCGUAGAUAUUGGGAGGAAUACCAGCGGCGAAGGCGGCCUUCUGGACGGUGACUGACGCUGAGACGCGAAAGCGUGGGGAGCAAACAGGAUUAGAUACCCCAGUAGUCC